rnacentral:rRNA from 1 species
GGAGGAAAGUAGGGGAUCGCAAGACCUUGCGCUUUUGGAGCGGCCGAUGCCUGAUUAGCUUGUUGGUGAGGUAAAAGCUCACCAAGGCUUCGAUCAGUAGCUGGUCUGAGAGGACGACCAGCCACACUGGGACUGAGACACGGCCCAGACUCCUACGGGAGGCAGCAGUGGGGAAUUUUGGACAAUGGGGGCAACCCUGAUCCAGCCAUGCCGCGUGAGUGAAGAAGGCCUUCGGGUUGUAAAGCUCUUUCAGCCGGAACGAAACGGUUACGGUUAAUACCCGUGACUACUGACGGUACCGGAAGAAGAAGCACCGGCUAACUACGUGCCAGCAGCCGCGGUAAUACGUAGGGUGCGAGCGUUAAUCGGAAUUACUGGGCGUAAAGCGUGCGCAGGUGGUUUUGUAAGUCAGAUGUGAAAUCCCCGGGCUUAACCUGGGAACUGCGUUUGAAACUACAAAGCUAGA